GUAUUUGCUUUGGUAGUACAUAUACUAAAAUUAGAAUGAUACAGGUGAGAAGAUUAGCAUGGUCUGUGAGCAGAAAUGACAUGCAAAUUCGUGAAGUGUUCCAUAUUUUA
ensembl:snRNA U6 U6 spliceosomal RNA